rnacentral:misc_RNA from 1 species
GAAAUGCGAUAAGUAAUGUGAAUUGCAGAAUUCAGUGAAUCAUCGAAUCUUUGAACGCGCAUUGCGCCCGCCAGUAUUCUGGCGGGCAUGCCUGUCCGAGCGUCAUUUCAACCAUCAAGCCCCCGGGCUUGUGUUGGGGACCUGCGGCUGCCCGCAGGCCCUGAAAACCAGUGGCGGGCUCGCUGUCACACCGAGCGUAGUAGCAAUCACCUCGCUCAGGGCGUGCUGCGGGUUCCGGCCGUUAAACAGCCUUACAAAACCCAAGGUUGACCUCGGAUCAGGUAGGAAGACCCGCUGAACUUAAGC